UUCAGCUUUCUUUUUGCCUGUGAGUCCUCGUGAGGAGUGGUCCGAAUGGCAUCUGGACAUCCACAAACAUUUGCAGUGCCGUAAACUGCAGAAAGAUGGCGCGGAGCGGUCUCCUGUGGUCAGGCCAAGCUAAGAGAAAAGCUGAUCUGAAAAUUGCCCUAUCAAGCUGUUCAGCCACAUGAGGAAAGCCUGCAGAGUUCAAGGCAGCGCCGAGCUUCCACCCUGCUGACUCAGACAGAUUCCAACCGGAGGCUCGAGCACAGGACGCUGGAGCCUGGUUCACAAACAAGGACCUUUACCCCCCUGAGCCAGCCGGUUCUUCGUCCCUGGCCGAAGACAACAAGCUUCACCCUGAAGCAACUUCUUCCUACCAGAUGGCCCAAAUUCACCUGAACUGACACAGAGGCACAGGUUUGGUAGAUAAAUAAGCAGGAAAAGAUUAAUCAUUAAAAUGGUUUA